UGCUUUAUUAAUUGUGACUUAGGGUGAGCGAGGUCAUGAUGGACUGAGCAUCACAGGGCCUCCCGGUCCCCCUGGCAUGCCUGGGCCGACCAUUAACAUCCAGGAUCUCCUUCUUCAUGAUACUGCAGCCAAAUUGAACCUCACUAAGAUCAGAGGACCUCCAGGCCCCAUGGGCCCUGAAGGCUUGCCUGGCAGAGCAGGAUUUCCUGGCCCAAGAGGACCAAAAGGUGAAAUUGGGUUUCCUGGCAUUCAAGGACCUCCAGGACUGAAGGGAGAAAAGGGG